rnacentral:rRNA from 1 species
AUUGAACGCUGGCGGCAGGCCUAACACAUGCAAGUCGAGCGGAUGAAGGGAGCUUGCUCCUGGUUUCAGCGGCGGACGGGUGAGUAAUGCCUAGGAAUCUGCCUGGUCGUGGGGGAUAACGUCCGGAAACGGGCGCUAAUACCGCAUACGUCCUGAGGGCGAACGUGGGGGAUCUUCGGACCUCACGCUCUCAGCUGACCCUAGGUCGGAUUAGCUAGUUGGUGGGGUAAAGGCCUACCAAGGCGACGAUCCGUAACUGGUCUGAGAGGAUGAUCAGUCACACUGGAACUGAGACACGGUCCAGACUCCUACGGGAGGCAGCAGUGGGGAAUAUUGGACAAUGGGCGAAAGCCUGAUGCAGCCAUGCCGCGUGAGUGAAGAAGGUCUUCGGAUUGUAAAGCACUGUAAGUUGGGAGGAAGGGCAGUAAGUUAAUACCUGGCUGUUUUGACGUUACCAACAGAAUAAGCACCGGCUAACUUCGUG